rnacentral:rRNA from 1 species
CUGCCUGGUAGUGGGGGACGAACGUUUCGAAAGGAACGCUAAUACCGCAUACGUCCUACGGGAGAAAGCAGGGACCUUCGGGCCUUGCGCUAUCAGAUGAGCCUAGGUCGGAUUAGCUAGUUGGUGAGGUAAGUGGCUCACCAAGGCGACGAUCCGUAACUGGUCUGAGAGGAUGAUCAGUCACACUGGAACUGAGACACGGUCCAGACUCCUACGGGAGGCAGCAGA